GCAGCGGGGUAAAUCUCUGGCUGUCCGGGAAGAGAAAACUGACUGUCUUACUCACUCCCGGCUAUUUCUUCUGCAUAGUCAGCUCUCUCUGACUGCUGCAUUACAUCCAAAGGAACAUGUGCGCACAGAGCUUGAUUCUCAAGAGUGAAGGCUGAGGAAAGUCAAAUGACAGACUUCUCCUUUGGACCAAUAGAAGCCCCUAAAUCCCAAGGCAGUCAUUUUGAUCAAGCUGAGUGCCUACAAGCCCCACUCACAUGUUUGGUCAAGAGGUAAACGCUCAGCAGAUGACAGUCCUCCUACCUCGGAUUGCAGGCGGAGAACCGGGGCUUUCCCAAUCCUCUGUGGUGAGAUACUUCCCGUGCUCUGCCUACUCAGCCCACCAAGGGAUUGUCGAUGCUUCCUGAUUUUACGGGCUGCAUGGUGAUUUGGUGUGAAUACGUCUCUGUUUCUCAGUGACAUGGAGAAGGAGGAACAGAUGAGUUAAAUGGAAUCAUUUUAUUUUACAUCACAUCAAAAAUACUGGGGCAACAGCAAAGACAAUAGACAGUAUCAGUAUUUGUCAUACUAUGAAAUAAUGUUCUAGCAUGCAAUAAAAUUUCCGCUAUUAAAGCAUAACAAUAAAGCAAGUACAAAAAAAACCCCAAAAAAAACCCAGAGAUUUCACAAUCUAAUAAAUCUUCUGACUUUCCUUUACUGAUGAAAAACCAGUGAACAACAGAAGAAAAAAGGUUUGAAACCUAAAUACACAAAUCAUAUAGGGACAGGGACACCUUUUGCUACAGCGAUGACUGGAAAAAAAAAAUGUCCCAGUUAUCUUGAAUUCAUGUGAUGAUA